UUGGCAGAUGAUGAGAAUCAAAGACAAUUGCGUCUGCUGUGCUCCUUAUUCAUCGGGGCACAAUGUCAUGAUGACCAUGUCUAGGGGAAUCUCUGAUGCUAA
rfam:Zea mays cultivar B73 chromosome 2, whole genome shotgun sequence.